GAAGCUUGACUUGGAUAGAUAAAGUACUGGAGAAUCACCAGGAAGUUGAAUAAAUCUCAUAGGAGUUAGGAUGAAGAACCUAUCCCACUUUCAAAUCAGGUGAUCCCAGUUUUCCUGUUUGGGAAUAUGACAACUUCUUCGUCAUUCUAAUCAAACCAGCAUGAACCGGGAUGUAAGAAGCUUGAUUUGGAUACAUGAAGUACUGGAAAAUGACCAGGAAGUUGAAUAAUUCUCAUAGGCGUUAGGAUGAAGAACCU
rnacentral:lncRNA from 1 species